ACCAGCCUGCAGCCAGUCAGUUAUCCAUGCGACUUUGGUUACAUCGGACGGCUAUCGUGACAUUACUCUCUUGUUCUUAAAGCUGGUGACGCUGGCGUGGCGCGGGCGGUCGGCAACCAAUAACAAUGCGUUCACGCACCCAG